UACGGAGGGUGCAAGCGUUAUCCGGAUUCACUGGGUUUAAAGGGUGCGUAGGUGGGAUGGUAAGUCAGUGGUGAAAUCUCCGGGCUUAACUCGGAAACUGCCGUUGAUACUAUCAUUCUUGAAUCUCGUGGAGGUAAGCGGAAUAUGUCAUGUAGCGGUGAAAUGCUUAGAUAUGACAUAGAACACCGAUAGCGAAGGCAGCUUGCUACACGAGUAUUGACACUGAGGCACGAAAGCGUGGGGAUCAAACAGG
rnacentral:rRNA from 2 species